rnacentral:sRNA from 1 species
AUGUGCCACUCCUGCACUCCGGUUCCUCCGCCAACCGCAUCCACCUGACGACUGCUCGCUACGUUGUUUGCC